rnacentral:lncRNA from 1 species
CAGAGACUUAAAACUAGUAUAUUACAUUGUGAUUUUUUUGGCUGGGCCUUAAACAAUUAACCUAUUUGUACAGAUGAUUCUAUACAAAUAUGUUGACAAAUGCAUGUGUGGCUUACAUCUGUUUAAAUCAAUAGUUGUCGAAUUCAAAUCAAGGAAUGGUUGUUUUGUUAAUUUAUUUGCACAUGUAACAGAAUUGUUAUUCAAAUGGAUCGUGCUACUUUACCAAGCCUGGUAACUUUUCUCACAUUUGGGGUGAGGUGGAUAUUUUGGGACUUCUUUUUUUUUAACAAUGGGGGGACCCAUUGGCCACAGAGAGACUGCCACCAGGCCUCCAUAAUUGUAUUCAAAUUAUCUUCUCUGUAGCAAGUCAGAAAAGAGUACCUAUACGGGAACUAAAACUUAAGCAGAAGAUUUAAGUCAGACCAUCUGUUGAUGUUUUGUACGAAGUAUGGUCAGAAUCAAAGGUGGACCAGUCAGAUCACGUGGAAAGAAAAUGCUGUAUCUGGAAAACGUUGAUGAAAGAAGAUUUUCCCUGAUCAGCCCAAGUACCAUUUUUGGACCCACUUUUCCCUUUGUCUUUGGUGCCCAUUUAGUGGGCCGUGCUUUUAGGCUGUGUUAAGGGUCAGGACUGGCCCCCUUUAAUUUAAAGGAUUGUGGUACAUUAUCAGACUUCAUUUAUCGCAUUCCUUAAAGGCCUCUCAUGCAACAAGAGUGGGCCAAUAUUAAUGGGGUAUUUUUUUGAAUGAGGACCCACCUCAUGAGAGAGGUCUUAUAAAACCUCUGGC